rnacentral:lncRNA from 1 species
AUUGCAUCAAUAAAACCCAUAAGUUCACAAUUCUGCCUAAAAACACCAGUUUGAAGUGAAAAAAAAAAAAAAAAUCAUCCAUUCAAUAAGCCCAUUCAUGAACACGAGUUGGUGGGCAUUAUGAAAGCCCGUUAAAAUGUUCAGCCCAUGCAAAUAAAAAACGGGGCUCAUUCCAGCCCAUUAAAUAUUAUCAUUUGGGCCUAAUAAAUUAAAGCGGGUCUGAUCAAUGACGGCCCACAUCCACACCCUAUAAAAUAUCUGUUCGAAAUUCGAUUUUAAAUCACAAUCCAUUCAAAAUUCGAUUUCGAAUUUCGAAUUUCGAAUUCUCAACCAAUUUCCAAAAUAUCCUCCAACAACCCAUUCAAAAUUCGAUUUUGAAUUUCGAAUUCCUAACCAAUUCUCAAAAUAUUCUCUAACAACUCAUUCAAAAUUCGAUUUCGAAUUUCGAAUCUCCAACCAAUUCCCAAAAAUCCUCCAACCAUCCAACAACCUAUUCAAAAUUCAAAUUCGAAUUUCGAAUCCCUCAAAAUAUCUCUCACCACCCCUCCCAUUAUAAAUACGAGAACCGAAAUCAAACAUGGGAUAAUUUUUUACGGAGACGAUAUAUAAAAAAAAAAAGAGAUAGAUUGCUACACACAUUUCCACGUUCAAAAUAUUCAAAGGAGGAGAUAUCACCGAGCCGCUGAAAGGAGGAGAUAUCGCCGAGCCGCUGAAAGGAGGAGAUAUCAUCGAGCCGCGGAAAGAAGAAGAAAUCAUUGAGCUGCUUCAUCCAAUCCAUCAUUUGAUCAACAGGUAAAAAAAAAAAAGAAAGAGAAAGAAAAAUGAAGAAGAAAAAAAGAAAACAUAAAAAGAAAAAAAAAGAAAAAAAAAGAAAGAAAAAGAAAAAAAAAAUCUCUCUUCUUCCCCCCUCCCUCUAAUUUUUUUUUUUUU